UACGGAGGGCGGAAGCGUUGUUCGGAAUCAUUGGGCGUAAAGAGCGUGUAGGCGGUUUGGUAAGUCGGGUGUGAAAGCCCGGGGCCUAACCCCGGAGGGUCAUUCGAAACUGCCAAGCUAGAGUCCCGGAGAGGGUGGCGGAAUUCCCAGUGUAGAGGUGAAAUUCGUAGAUAUUGGGAAGAACACCGGCGGCGAAGGCGGCCACCUGGACGGUGACUGACGCUGAGACGCGAAAGCGUGGGGAGCAAACAGG
rnacentral:rRNA from 1 species